GAUGAACGCUAGCUACAGGCUUAACACAUGCAAGUCGAGGGACCGGCGCACGGGUGAGUAACACGUAUCCAACCUACCCAUUACUGUGGGAUAACCUGCCGAAAGGCAGACUAAUACCGCAUAGUAAUGGAUGGGGAUGCGUAUGAUUAGCUUGUUGGCGGGAUAACGGCCCACCAAGGCGACGAUCAGUAGGGGUUCUGAGAGGAAGGUCCCCCUCAUUGGAAAGGAGGCACUGUCCAAACUCCUACGGGAGGCAGAAGUGAGGAAUAUUGGUCAAGGGGCGCGAGCCUGAACCAGACAAGUAGCGUGCAGGAUGACGGCAGAUGGGUGGUAAACUGCUUUGGUAUGGGGAUAGGAAAAAAAAGAAUAAGGACCGGCUAAUUCCGUGCCAGCAGCCGCGGUAAUGG
rnacentral:rRNA from 1 species